CUCUAAUUUACACGUUUUGUGUUAAUUUUAACUAAAAAUGUGUUGAAAAAAAUAACCUCUUUUACACAUAUCAAUGUGUAGUUUAAAAAUUAACACAAAAUGGGGAUUUACUCACAGCAUUUAAUACAAUAUGUGUAGACAGAUAUGCUUAACACACAUUGUGUAUUUUAUAAUGUGUCCGUUAUUUAAAUUAGCUAAUUGAAAUGAACCAAUAGCAGCAACGGUCUUUGAAUGAAUAGAAUCCAGCAGAGCCGUUGGAAUCCAGUCAGUCCAUCCAUUCUAGUCUUUUAUUGACAGCGACCAUUUCGUUUUACAUCUAUAUUGUUGAAAAUAAAAUAUUUAUACCAUAUCACUUCAUUAUGUUAAUCGACUACCCCUCGUGUCACAACUGCUCGUGAAAAACACCUUUUAUACCACGGAGGAUAUGAUGUGCGCCGCAUCAAGCCGAUGACUGCUAGCAAGAUUCUUGAGCAAAUGAACUAAUCAGAGAUGGACCAUUUUCUGUUCAGUGAGUCUCACCAGUUGAAUUUAUUCAGAGUCCCACCAGACCAGGAAGAUGCCUAAUAUGAUUUCAGCAUAUCAGCACAUAGAUAUUCCUUCACUGCAGACAAGCUGAAAUGGGCUAAAUCCUUGAUUGCAGUCUUUACAUCUCUGAAUCAUUUGGAGAGAAUUAAAGCAAUUGUUGGAACAGCGAUCUUCUCUGAAGAACUGAGCACAUUUGUGUUUGCAGACAUGCAUGCAUCCAGGGAAAAUUGUGAUGUCGUCAGUCAAGUUCUGAACAGGAACCAAUCUUUGGAGAAGUUCAUUUAUUCCCAAAGGUGGACAAAAACAUUGUGUUGGCUUUUUAAAGACUAUUUUUGUUAUCACUUUUACUAUGCUGUGGAGAAGAUGGAGGAGUACAGACAUUGAUAAUUAUCAGAAAUGUUUCUUGAGCAGCAAAUCCUAGAAUGAUUUCUGAAGGAUAAUGUGACACUGAAGAUUGGAGUAAUGAUGCUAAAAUUUCAGCUUUGGUCACAGGAAUAAAUAACAUUUUAACAUAUAUUCACAAAAGUUAUUUUUAAUUGUUAUAAUAUUUCAUAAUAUUUCUGGUUUUGCUGUAUUUUCUGUAUCAAAUUAAAGCUUUGGUGAGCAAACUUUAUUUUCCAAACUUUUGGCUGCCAAUGUACAUCAAUCCCAACAAUGUUUGGAAAUAAGUAAAACUAUUUUGGAGGUAGGGACGGGUUAUGUGUCAUGUUGCCUAAUGAGAAUGAAAAGAACUGUUUUGUCCUUUGUUGGACAUAUCCUUUUUGACUGCUUAAAAUUGCAUUGUUGAAUUGAAUUUAAUUAUUGAUAUUUUAUUGUAAUAAAUUGACAAUAAGAAAGACAACCAAUGACUUUACAUUCAUUUUUUCAAAUGCUAACAUUUUGUUUAGGAUUUUAGAUACAUUUUUAACACAAUGUGUAAAGCCAAGGAUAACACAAUGUUACACAUCUUUUGCACAUGUUUACACAUCUUUGUGUUAACCUUUCAGACACAUUUACUGUGUUAAAAUCCUUAACACAGUGACUGUGUAGAAAUCAACACAAAAAACUCACCCAUUGAUGUGUAAGAAUUUAACACAGUUUGAGUCAGUUUUAACACAUCCUUUCUAAGAGUGUAGAUUUUAUCUCUCUUGCUGGUUGAGAUACUUAAAUACAUAGGCAAUGUUGUUCAUAAACACUUUUUGUUAUACUGGUUGAAACUCUCUUCACAUCCUGAUAGUAAUCAAUAAACCAAAUAUCAAUAAACCAAAAAAUGUUUGUUCAAUCAUUGCAGUCACAAAUAGUCUAUAGAACAGGGAUUAAACUGACUUGGAACUACCUGUGCAUUCAAUGGUUUUAUUGAACACCAUCCAGCCAAUCACAAUUGAGUAUUCAUAGAGACCAUGGUAUAAAUAUUUCUCUAAAAUAUGUUUUUAAUUUCUUAAAAGUAAUGAUGAUAAAAACCAGAUUAGAACAUUAGAUUAGCAUGCCGUUUCUAUAAAUAUAGGCCUACUCAUCCUUGUGAAAUGGUUUCAAAUAGCUAAUUAAAAUCCUGCAGAAUUAAAAAAAAACAAAAGAA